AUUUCUGUGGUGUGAUCGGUUAGCGUUUUCAGCUGUUAACUGAAAGGUUGGUGGUUCAAGCCCAACCAGGGAUG
rnacentral:tRNA from 1 species